CCCUGUGCACUUCUUGUGGUCUUCUUUCAAGGUCGAAGUUGGGCUUGGUCUUUCUAGGCUCUAUGAGGUCUUGAGGAGGGGCAUGUUUGCUUUUGUCAUAGACGAGUAUAAGGAAUGUCUUCUAACGGGCAACCUAUGCCUGUGAUUUAAUAUCAUACAACUUUCAGCAACGGAUCUCUUGGCUCUCGCAUCGAUGAAGAACGCAGCGAAACGCGAUAAGUAAUGUGAAUUGCAGAAUUCAGUGAAUCAUCGAAUCUUUGAACGCACCUUGCACUCCUUGGUAUUCCGAGGAGCAUGCCUGUUUGAGUGUCAGUUGUUUUUCAACCUACCUAUGUUUCUUGCUGGGUGAGGCUUGGAUGUGGAGGAAAUAUGUGCAGGCCUUUAUGACUAUGUCAUGGGUCGGCUCCUCUGAAAUGCAUUAGCGGAGCUGCUUGCAACCUUGCUAUAGGCGUGAUAAAUAUUUCUGUGCCAAGUGGGGUUUGCCUUGUUGUGG
rnacentral:rRNA from 1 species